GCUACACAUGUAGAACUGUUCGAAGAAGGCUUGCGGACGCGGGUUCAAUUCCCGCCAGCUCCACCA
rnacentral:tmRNA from 1 species